rnacentral:rRNA from 1 species
GUGCCAGCAGCCGCGGUAAGACGUAGGGUGCAAGCGUUGUCCGGAUUUACUGGGCGUAAAGAGCGCGUAGGCGGUCUGUUAAGUGUGAAGUGAAAUCUCCAGAGCUCAACUCGGAAACUGCUUCGCAUACUGGCAGGCUGGAGGAACGGAGAGGUGAGUGGAAUUCCUGGUGUACCGGUGAAAUGGGUUGAUAUCAGGAGGAACACCGAUGGCGAAGGCAGCUCACUGGCCGUUAUCUGACGCUGAGGCGCGAAAGCGUGGGUAGCAAACAGGAUUAGAAACCCCCGUAGUCC